GCAACAGCUCAAAUUUGAAAUCUGGCUACUUUGUAGUCCGAGUUGUAAUUUGCAGAGGAUGCUUUUGGUGAGGUGCCUUCCGAGUUCCCUGGAACGGGACGCCAGAGAGGGUGAGAGCCCCGUACGGUUGGACACCAAGCCUUUGUAUAGCUCCUUCAACGAGUCGAGUAGUUUGGGAAUGCUGCUCUAAAUGGGAGGUAUAUCUCUUCUAAAGCUAAAUACCGGCUAGAGACCGAUAGCGCACAA
rnacentral:rRNA from 1 species